rnacentral:rRNA from 1 species
GAUGAACGCUGGCGGCGUGCCUAACACAUGCAAGUCGAACGGAGAUUCCGGACGGAAGUUUUCGGAUGGAAGACUGUAAUUCUUAGUGGCGGACGGGUGAGUAACGCGUGGGCAACCUGCCCUAUACAGGGGGAUAGCAGCUGGAAACGGCUGGUAAGACCGCAUAAGUCGGCGAGACCGCAUGGUUUUGCCGGGAAAUGAGCAAUCAGGUAUAGGAUGGGCCCGCGUCCGAUUAGCCAGUUGGCAGGGUAAAAGCCUACCAAAGCAACGAUCGGUAGCCGGACUGAGAGGUCGGACGGACACAGUGGGACUGAGACACGGCCCAAACUCCUACGGGAGGCAGCAGUGGGGGAUAGUGCACAAUGGAGGAAACUCUGAUGCAGCGACGCCGCGUGAGUGAAGAAGUAUGUCGGUAUGUAAAGCUCUAUCAGCAGGGAAGAUGAUGACGGUACCUGACGAAGAAGCCCCGGCUAACUACGUG